GUAGUGCAAGAACAGUGCAAUA
rnacentral:miRNA from 15 species